rnacentral:tRNA from 1 species
GAGGGUAGAGCUCAGUGGUAGAGCGUGUGCUUAGCAUGCAUGAGGUCUUGGGUUCAAUCCCCAGUACCUCUG